rnacentral:rRNA from 1 species
UACGUAGGGAGCUAGCGUUGUUCGGAAUCACUGGGCGUAAAGCGCACGUAGGCGGCUUUGUAAGUUAGAGGUGAAAGCCCAGGGCUUAACCCUGGAAUUGCCUUUAAGACUGCAUCGCUAGAAUUGUGGAGAGGUAAGUGGAAUUCCGAGUGUAGAGGUGAAAUUCGUAGAUAUUCGGAAGAACACCAGUGGCGAAGGCGACUUACUGGACACAUAUUGACGCUGAGGUGCGAAAGCGUGGGGAGCAAACAGG